GACAGAGGUGCCAAGCGUUAGGCGGAAUCACUGGGCUUAAAGCGUGUGUAGGCGGAUGCCUAAGUACCUUGUGAAAUCCCACGGCUCAACCGUGGAACUGCUGGGUAUACUGGGUGUCUUGGGCCAACUAGGGGUCGCUGGAACAAAUGGUGGAGCGGUGAAAUGCGUAGAUAUCAUUUGGAACGCCAAGGGCGAAAGCAAGCGACUGGGGUUGUGCCGACGCUGAGACACGAAAGCCAGGGGAGCGAACGGGAUUAGAUACCCCGGUAGUCCUGGCCCUAAACGAUGUCCACUAGAUCGUAGCGCCUCUGACGGUGUUAUGGUCGAAGCAAAAGUGCUAAGUGGACCGCCUGGGAAGUACGGUCGCAAGGCUAAA
rnacentral:rRNA from 1 species